rnacentral:rRNA from 1 species
CUUUAGCCAAACAAGUAUUAAAGGUCCUGCCUGCCCAGUGAUAAACUUAAACGGCCGCGGUAUUCUAACCGUGCAAAGGUAGCGUAAUCACUUGUCUUCUAAAUAAAGACCAGUAUGAACGGCUAAAUGAGGACACCCCUGUCUCUUACAACAAAUCAGUGAAACUGAUCCCCCAGUACAAAAGCUGGGAUAACAACAUAAGACGAGAAGACCCUGUGGAGCUUUAAAUUAAUAUUACAAGCAACAUGUUGCACCUAAUAGAACAUUUUAAGUUGGGGCGACUUUGGAACAAAACAAAACUUCCAAGAACAGAACCACAAAUUCAAACAAGGCGAACAGGCCGAAAUAACGACCCAGUAAUACUGAUCAACGAACCAAGUUACCCCAGGGAUAACAGCGCUAUCUUCUUCAAGAGCCCAUAUCGACAAGAAGGUUUACGACCUCGAUGUUGGAUCAGGACACCCAAACGGUGCAGCCGCUGUUAAAGGUUCGUUUGUUCAACGAUUAAUGUCCUACGUGAUCUGAGUUCAGACCGGAGCAAUCC